rnacentral:misc_RNA from 1 species
CUGAGAGAGAAAGAGAAAAAAUGGUGGAUUGAAUUGAAAUUUGGAUCAGAAGCAAAGCUGAAGCAGUGAUAUGUAAAGAAGAUUCAUCAUGUUUCUUCGCCAUGAGGCAGAGGGACAACAAGACAAAAAUACCUAAAAUCUGCAAUCUUUUUGUUUUAUCCAGUCAUAUGGAUCAUCUUGCUCCAUACGUUGCUAGUUUCAUAAACCUAAUUAAUUAAUCCAUUUUUUGUAUUCUUAGAUCCAAUUUUUGGAUUUAAGAUUUCCCAUUUAUAAUUGGGUAUCCUUUACAUUUUUUCAUAAUUAAUCUUUGAGCCUCCAAUCAAUGGAGCCUCGUGUUGGAAAUAAGUUUCGUCUCGGACGGAAAAUCGGAAGUGGUUCGUUUGGUGAGAUCUACCUUGGGACUAAUGUUCAGACCAAUGAAGAGGUUGCAAUUAAGCUGGAAAAUGUGAAGACAAAGCAUCCUCAACUACUCUAUGAAUCAAAGCUAUAUAAAAUACUACAAGGAGGAACUGGAAUCCCCAAUUUAAAAUGGUUUGGAGUUGAAGGAGAUUAUAAUGUCCUUGUGAUGGAUUUACUUGGACCCAGUCUUGAAGAUCUCUUCAACUUCUGCAGUAGGAAGCUGUCCCUAAAGACUGUUCUUAUGCUUGCAGACCAGAUGAUAAAUCGGGUCGAAUUUGUUCAUGCCAAAUCUUUUCUUCAUCGAGAUAUAAAACCAGACAACUUCUUGAUGGGAUUAGGAAGACGUGCAAAUCAGGUCUAUGUUAUUGAUUUUGGGCUGGCUAAGAAGUACAGAGACUCAUCAACUCAUCAGCAUAUUCCGUAUAG